GUUAUUCCAACAGAAUAAUAAAGAAUGGUAUAACAACCCUUACGAAUAUUAAAAAAAAUAACUCUCUUCAUGAAUAUGAAAGAAAUAAUACCCCUUACCUUAGAAGAAAUUGGAAUAGUGAGGUAGUAGACUUCUCUUCUUCUUUCUCUCUAUAAUUUCUCUCUAUAAUAAUUGCUCUUGUGAGACUUAGUGAAUUGGUGAGAAAUAAUGAAGGAAUGAGCUUCUAUUUAUAGGAAAAUAUAGUUUCAAUAAUUGCACAUUUUUGGGGCUCGAAAUAUUACAGUAUAAUACCUUCUUCUUUUUCGUCAUUUUUAAUUUAGUCCUGCAAGUAUUAUGAAACUUGCACCAUCUCUCCUAAUAGUAAAACAUGUGAAUCAAUAGUAAAUCAUGUGACUCAAUAGUUCUAAACAUGUGAAAAAAAUAAUUACAAUAUAGUACCUUCAUCUAUACCUCCAUUUUUAAUUUAGUCAUGCAAGUAUUAUCAAUCUUGCACCAACUCCCCUAAU
rnacentral:lncRNA from 1 species